CAAUAGCGUAUAUUUAAGUUGUUGCAGUUAAAAAGCUCGUAGUUGGAUUUCGGGUGGGACGCAGCGGUCUCGCAUUGCGUUUGUACUGCUGCAGCCCUCCUUCUUGCCGGGGGCGGCCUCUCGGACUUCACUGUCUGGGGGUCAGAAUCGGCGAUGUUACUUUGAGUAAAUUAGAGUGUUCAAAGCAAGCUUACGCUCUGAAUAUAAUAGCAUGGGAUAACACGACAGGACUCUGGCCUAUCGUGUUGGUCUAUAGGACCAGAGUAAUAAUUAAGAGGGACAGUCGGGGGCAUUCGUAUUCCGUUGUCAGAGGUGAAAUUCUUGGAUUUACGGAAGACGAACAUCUGCGAAAGCAUUUGCCAAGGAUGUUUUCAUUGA
rnacentral:rRNA from 1 species